rnacentral:lncRNA from 1 species
CCCCUUGACUGGGCAAACUUCAAACAAGUGACUGAGCUCCCUUAGCUGCCACUGAUUGGACCAGGAUGGACAACAAAUGUAGGAGGAGUUCAUCUGGAUCUAGCCUGAGCCAGUCAGAUAUCCCCUUUGAAUCCAUGCCUAUAGAAAUACAAAAAAAUGGAAGCCAGAGGAUGAUGGAUCCUUGAAGUAAUAAGUCAGCUCUGUGGAAGUUUGAGUGACUCAUUGCAGAGAGGAAUUGAUGAAGUCAACAGCUGCUGGAAAAACUUCUUUUUCCUUAAUAGCUGUAUCAACAUGUGGUUGCUAUUAUUCAAGUAAGAAAAAUAUGUAUAUCAAACAUCCAUGGUAGUCCUUGCUAAAAUUUUCAUUAGAGAGACUCAUGUUUUGACAUUAAAAAAAGUUCAAAUGGGUACCUUAGAGGAUGUUUUGUUGGAGAACAAAAUCAUGGAGAAAUAAAGUCUAAAAAGAAAAA